GUGCUAGCCCAGUUGGUUCUCGCGCUCGCGCUAAAACGCGAGGUCCUGGGUUCGAUUCCCAGGAGGAGCA